rnacentral:rRNA from 1 species
AAGGCCCCAAAAUCAUAGUUAAGUGGGAAACGAUGUGGGAAGGCAUAGACAGCUAGGAGGUUGGCUUAGAAGCAGCCACCCUUUAAAGAAAGCGUAAUAGCUCACUAGUCGAGUCGGCCUGCGCGGAAGAUGUAACGGGGCUAAAACUAUGUGCCGAAGCUGCGGAUGUAUACUUUGUAUACGUGGUAGGGGAGCGUUCUGUAAGCCGAUGAAGGUGUGUUGAGAAGCAUGCUGGAGGUAUCAGAAGUGCGAAUGCUGACGUGAGUAACGACAAAACGGGUGAAAAACCCGUUCGCCGAAAGACCAAGGGUUCCAGUCCAACGUUAAUCGGGGCUGGGUGAGUCGACCCCUAAGGCGAGGCCGAAAGGCGUAGUCGAUGGGAAAAUGGUUAAUAUUCCAUUACUUCUGUGUAAUGCGAUGAGAGGACGGAGAAGGCUAAAUCAGCCUGGCGUUGGUUGUCCAGGUGAAAGGAUGUAGGCAUGUAUCUUAGGCAAAUCCGGGGUACUCUAUGCUGAGAUCUGAUAGCAAGCUGUACUUGUACAGCGAAGUGGUUGAUGCCAUGCUUCCAGGAAAAGUCUCUAAGCUUCAGUUACACAGGAAUCGUACCCGAAACCGACACAGGUGGUCAGGUCGAGUAGACCAAGGCGCUUGAGAGAACUCUGCUGAAGGAACUAGGCAAAAUGGUACCGUAACUUCGGGAGAAGGUACGCUGUUGUUGGUGAUGGAACUCGCUUCCUGAGCUGACGACAGCCGCAGAAACCAGGCCGCUGCAACUGUUUAUUAAAAACAUAGCACUCUGCAAACACGAAAGUGGACGUAUAGGGUGUGAUGCCUGCCCGGUGCUGGAAGGUUAAUUGAUGGGGUUAGCGUAAGCGAAGCUCUUGAUCGAAGCCCCAGUAAACGGCGGCCGUAACUAUAACGGUCCUAAGGUAGCGAAAUUCCUUGUCGGGUAAGUUCCGACCUGCACGAAUGGCAUAAUGAUGGCGGCGCUGUCUCCAGCAGAGGCUCAGUGAAAUCGAAAUCGCUGUGAAGAUGCAGUGUACCCGCGGCUAGACGGAAAGACCCCGUGAACCUUUACUGCAGCUUGACACUGAACUUUGACCUUACUUGUGUAGGAUAGGUGGGAGGCUUUGAAGCUGGAACGCUAGUUCCAGUGGAGCCGUCCUUGAAAUACCACCCUGGUAAUGUUGAGGUUCUAACUCUGUCCCGUGAUCCGGGACGAGGACCGUGUCUGGUGGGUAGUUUGACUGGGGCGGUCUCCUCCUAAAGAGUAACGGAGGAGUACGAAGGUGCGCUCAGCGUGGUCGGAAAUCACGCGUAGAGUAUAAAGGCAAAAGCGCGCUUAACUGCGAGACCCACAAGUCGAGCAGGUACGAAAGUAGGUCUUAGUGAUCCGGUGGUUCUGUAUGGAAGGGCCAUCGCUCAACGGAUAAAAGGUACUCUGGGGAUAACAGGCUGAUACCGCCCAAGAGUUCAUAUCGACGGCGGUGUUUGGCACCUCGAUGUCGGCUCAUCUCAUCCUGGGGCUGAAGCAGGUCCCAAGGGUAUGGCUGUUCGCCAUUUAAAGAGGUACGCGAGCUGGGUUUAGAACGUCGUGAGACAGUUCGGUCCCUAUCUACCGUGGGCGCUGGAAAUUUGAGAGGAUCUGCUCCUAGUACGAGAGGACCAGAGUGGACGAACCUCUGGUGUACCGGUUGUGACGCCAGUCGCAUCGCCGGGUAGCUAUGUUCGGAAGGGAUAACCGCUGAAAGCAUCUAAGCGGGAAGCCUACCUCAAGAUAAGAUUUCCCUAGGACUUUAUGUCCUCUAAAGAGCCGUUCGAGACUAGGACGUUGAUAGGUUGGAUGUGGAAGCAUAGUGAUAUGUGAAGCUGACCAAUACUAAUUGCUCGUGAGGCUUGACUAU